CAAGUUUUAAGAAAGGGCAUGGUACAUUACCUGUAUAUAUAGUAAACAGAACAAACCGCUAUUUAUUAUGACAUCGUCGGGUUUCAUUCAUUUCAUCAAGAACGCCGUUCAUUUUACGAGGAAUUACGUAUUUACACAAUUAAUCAAUCCUGCACGAUAGAUUAAAAAUCACAACUGGAGAUGUGAAGAAUGCGUUAUCGCUGUAACUACAUCCACGGCCAAAGCUGCCUUUACAGAAAUUACAGCCGCUUCUGAUAUACAAGUUGUUGGAAAGGUAACAAACUUUAUAUUUACUCGGGACAUUAGUUUGGUUUCAAGAUAUCAAAUGUCGAGCGAAUAGUCCGAUAUCUCAAGUUCUUGCACAAGAAUGAAAUGAUGCGGUGGAUUGGAUGCUAUUUUAUUUGCCAACGACCAGACCUACAGCGUCGAUGGUCAUAAAGGGAGUUAAAAAUUCAAUUUUAUAAGGAAUUAUAACAAUGUUAAGUAGUGAUAGCUGAUGUUAGUCACUAAUGAGUGGUGAUGCUUUGCAUAUCCGGCAAUGUUUUAUGCAGCUUAAUAUUAAAUGAAACCUUUUACAGUCAUCCUUACUUUUGGUGUUGGUAAAAGAAGCUCGACUUUCUGAUCGCCGUAGCUAUUCAACCCGAAAUGGAUCGAAAGUACAUAAUUUCUACUGUGUUCGCAUUUAAGCUGCACUGGUUUUCUCAGAAUAGUGUACCUCGCCCCAUUAUAAAAACAAAGACUGAUAGGAACAAGUAAAAAGGGAAGUUGUCUUUUGAGACAUUCAUACUGAUAUAUAAAACUUUUUAAAGGGAAAGUAAGAAUACUGAGAUGAAGGGAAAAAGAUCAUAAGUGAUCAAGUAGCUAUGGAAAGAAUGGUAGGAAAGUUACACGUUUGCAUCUAACCCGUGAAUUGAAGGGCGUAGAAAGAGAAAGAGCAUUAUAUCAAACUGACGUAAAAUUAUACACUGUUCUAACAAGGCGAAUAUACUUCCAAGUAUCUACUAAUCGCAGUUCCUAACAGGUAUCGGAAAUAAACCAGAGAAAGAAUUGAUUUUACUUGCCUAGAAGAAAAUGAAAACUUGCCGUAGAUCUUACAAGAUACCUUCUUAGCUCGCAUUUAGAAGAGACAACGUCGAAUCUACUUCGAUUCAUAUCGAACUGUGUUAAAUAUCAACAUAUAUUGUAAGAGUACAUUUUUAUACGAAAAGUAACUAAUCUGUGUAUUAAAUUAAUAAUAAUAAACAUAUAUUUUACGGAUC
rnacentral:lncRNA from 1 species